UUGAGUGGCGAUAGCUUGUAUCGCACAUGUAAGGACGGCAGCCUUUCUCAUGGGAAGAACAUAUGAGGAGUACUGCAUUGUGAGGAUGUUCCAUACAAACAGGACACCUGGCCUCUUCCCAUUCCUUUAGGUUUUCCUCAGUUUCUGAAGGGAUUUUGGGUGAAGAUAGCCUGCUACAACUGGAGCUGCAAGUGUACGGAGACGCCUUGCACCUAUCAAAAGAUACCGAGCGAUCUCUUCUAUCCUUUGGCAUUCUGAGA
rnacentral:misc_RNA from 1 species